GGAAUCAGUCCGAUCGAUUGAUUGAGUGGCUCGUCUCUGAAGAAAAAUCGCCUGAGAAAUUUCAAUACCGUUUCUUUGUCAUCACGGCCGAUCGUCCGGAGGUGGUAGUCCAUCACCCCUCCGCUGGAGUCGUUGUCGGCCAGCUGAAUAAAAUAUAGAAUGCGAUUUCAAGUAAGUUUUUCGAAUCGCGCGAUACCACCAUAUAUUUAACACUCACCCGCCACAUUUCUGUCAUAAUUAACUCCUUUAUUUGUCGCACACAUUUUACAGGGUAUAUUGUAUCUAUAUGUGUAUACCGUAUAUACCGAUUUAUCAACCCGUCACGUUGUAAACUGUGCGGGCAGAAAAUCUAACGAUUCAUUAAACAUGUCAUUAAAAUGUUGGACGUCACGUCGUACAAGACACUACUCUGUCCCGGCAUACGUCCGGUGGUGUAUAAUCUAGUUUAGUAGCAGCUACAAAAUUAUACUAAUCACAAGCGCGACCGCUGUCAGUUCUGAUUAAAUUAAUAUUCAUCACAGUUGUCGUUCGAUCGAUUCAUUACACUUUUCCGCACCGCGCGUACGUGCGCGGUAAGAAGUGUUUGAUUUAUGCGAACGAUUGAUUUUCGCAACCCCGACAUAACCUACGGCUUUCCAUUUUCAUUUCAUAUACUUCGUCUGUGAUUUGUUUUUUUUUUUACAGUUUCAGGAUAAUUAAUCGACUCGCCGCAGUCGCGUUUCGCACGAAACUUCUGCAUCGUUUUCUCCGUAGCGUACAUCAGAGUGUGCGUGUACGUAUGUACGUACGCAGCUGCGCGACCCACGGAAUCGACAGGAGAGAUUGAAAAGAGGGAUACGGAAAAAAUAGCUGCGUCGGGGAAGGAUAAUCCCGCGGUACACGGAGAACAGCGUAUGCUAAUUUCGUAAACCUCUGUUAAUCCCAUCGUUAAUCCCAUCGUUAAUCCCGUUGCAGAAGAAAUCUCCCACAGAUUCUGUGCACAUCGCAGAGAUCGAAACAAUCGUACCCCGGAUAUCGGAGAUCGCCGAUAAUUAGAGCCAUGUUAUAUCGAAAGGCAGUCGCGUCUCGAUGACGACCGGGGGGGAUUCGGCCUUCGAUCGUCAACGGACGUUCUUCUUACCGAGUAUCUGGAUAUCCUCGGAGCAUCCUUGGCGAAACCAGUUCGUCCUUUUUCAUUCUCUCUAUCGUCGAUCCUCGCGUUCUGAAUUUUCGAGAUGAGAAGGGCCUCCAUUUUAACGGUGCGGAAUCGACGACGCUCUCGCAGGCGAAAAAUAACCGACCAAUGUAACGACGGGCAACGGGCAAAAAAAAAGGCCAAUGCUCACGAAGAAGAUCGUAAAGCGCGUUUGCAAUUUUCUACGCUGGGAGAAUAGCAAAAGCUGAGAUUGGGCGUGCAACAAUGACAAAGAUGGAAGGAAGGAAGAGGAGAAUUGACGAAACGGAGAUGAGGAGGUGAAAAUUUUCGAGUCAAUGUAUACGUCACGUCGCAGAUUUCUUCUUUUGCGGCCCCCGCUGCACCGCAGGAGCGAAGAAGAAGGAGAAGAAGAAUUUGGAGAUCAUCUGAAAUAAGAAGGAAGAAGAAAAUUGCAGAAAAAGGAAAAAGAAAUGACGAAAUAUCUAAGAGGAAGAGGAACCGGAAGAGCUUGCGGUGGUAUAAAAAAAAGAAAAAGAAAGGAGACGCGAUUCGGACGGAAUAUCCUGCAAGAGGAAGAGGAAGCGGAAGAGCUUUAGGUGGUUAAAAAAAAAAUUAAGGACUUUUAUCUCAAUUCUCUCGUACGGUGUGGGAAAAAUUUCACGGGAGGCCGCUGCACCCCGUUGUCCAAGGGGCAUAUUUUCUCACAUCUCUUUUGUUUUUGCUCUUCCGAAGGUAUUCGAGAGCAAAGGAUUUACGACCUUCGUUCGCUGAUUUUAUUGAUAUAUACGGUGUGUAAUCGAAGCAAAAUCCCAACAAUUACGAUCGUUGUAAGGUUACGUUGCAGC